ACGCUGUGGCGGGCCGGUUCAGCGCGGCGUUGGCGGUGCCGCAGCCGCCGGUGCCGCCGGUCGUGCCGUAC
rnacentral:tRNA from 1 species